GGAAACCAUGACUUCAUUCCUCCAUUCUUCCCAUCUAGGAGGGAUGCUACAGGAUCGGAGAGGCAAUUCUGCCCUGCUCCCUGUUUAGCUGUGUUUAUUCACAUUUAGCUGUGUUUAUUCACGGUAUCCUGGGGGCAUUGUAUGUACCCACCAGUCAUGGGAAGUUUCCUGGCAAGAAGAAAUUGACUCUGUUACAGGGGUAUAUUCUAGGAUUGCCGCCUGGCAGUAAGUAAACAUCAGCUCCAUGUAAGCCAGCUGGUGGAGUGCGAGCUUAAGUUGACUGGGAUUUUUAUAAGGAUUCUUGUGUUAGCUUUCUGUCGCUGUGGCUAAAACCUUAGAGAAGUCAAAUUAAAGGGGAGAAGACUUACUUGGGCUUAUGACUUCAGAGGUUUCUGACUCCACUGCUUUUGAAGCCAAGGCAAGACAAACUAUCUCAGCAGUAGGAGUGUAUGGCCAAGAGACUGCACACUGCCUGCCUCGUGGCUGUCAGAGAUCAGGGAAGAAGAAAGACGCCUUACAGGGGAGCCUGCCCAGUGAACUACUUCCUCCAACUAGACCUCCAGCAAUUUCUACCAGCCCCUUAUAGAUUAUUCAACCAUGCAUCUGUCAAGGAAUGGAUGAAUCCAUUGAUGAGCCACAUCGUAGUCACAUUUGAUGUCCACAAUACAACACAUCCCAGAGGAUAUGGCCACCAAGGUGUGGCUCCUACGGAAUUCCCAGAAUACGUCUAGUCGAGUACAGCAGAGGCACAAAGAACCAUGGAGGGAAUGCAGCAGCGAGCACUACCAUAGAUCCUGUUGAAAUCUUGAACAAGGUACACCUGUCAUCUUGAGGAUAGUCGCUCCCUGGUUUCUGAAUGUCCUCGAUAUUCUACCAGGAAGAUGACAACAGUGGUGAUAUAUCUCCUUUACUUGCUGGUAGAGUGAGUGAAGAAAACACAUGCUCAAGUGAGUCCAACUUCCCAGAAAUAUCUGAAGCAGAAGCUCAAGUUGAUUGCCAACAACAAACCAUUAGAAGUGGCUUUGGUUCUGGGUAUGGUGGCACUUUGAAGAUUGAAGCAAGGGGAUCAUGAGUUCAAGGCCAGCCUGAAUACAUAGCAAGUACCAGUAUAGUCUGAGCUAUGUGGUGAGAUCUUGUCUCAGGGAGCCCAGGCUUGGGGCACAACUCAGUAGUCUGAGCCCUCUAUUUAGCAUGUGUAUGUGCUGGGUUUAGUUUCCAGCACUGGGGGGAAAGUGGCUUUAGGAAAGAAACAAAGGGCUGCAAAUGAAAGCUAAUACUGUUUUAGCUCUGAAGAGGGCAGUAUGCAACCAAGGCCAAACAGGUACUCAUAAUUUCCUUCCAGGGCCUAAAGGCAAGAAAGCCCUCAGGAGCCCAGGCAGCUUGGGCUCCCAAGAGCUUAUUUCUUGAAAGACAAACACAUCUUCACACAUGAAAUAGGAUUCUUGAGGUUUGAGCACAGUUACACACUGCCUCUCAGAGGGACACAGCGCAAACUGAUAUGAAGGUGGUUAUGCAAGAUGGAUAGGAGGGUUCCCAUUUUCCUUUCCUGUGCUCAACCUCUGGUCUGCUCGCUCAGAUCAACCUCUAUGAAGUUAAACAAUAGCACAGCCUCCCAGAUGGUGUCCGAUGUUUGCAGAAGAAAGUGUUUCCUUUUCUUCUAAGACUCCGAGUACAGAGGCUUCUGCUGCCUAAAGCAAAAUAGUCUCAAAAACAUCCUUUGCACAGAAAGAAAAU
rnacentral:lncRNA from 1 species